rnacentral:rRNA from 1 species
UACGUAGGGUCCGAGCGUUGUCCGGAAUUAUUGGGCGUAAAGGGCUCGUAGGCGGUUUGUCGCGUCGGGAGUGAAAUCCACUGGCUUAACUGGUGGCUUGCUUUCGAUACGGGCAGACUGGAGGUAUGCAGGGGGAGAACGGAAUUCCUGGUGUAGCGGUGAAAUGCGCAGAUAUCAGGAGGAACACCGAUAGCGAAGGCAGCUCGCUGGGACGGUACUGACGCUGAGGCGCGAAAGCGUGGGGAGCGAACAGG